rnacentral:ncRNA from 2 species
CCAUCUCUAGGAAGCGUCGAUUGACUAUCCGUAUUUGGGCACUUGGAUGGUCAGGAGCUAGUAGUGCAACCGGCCAGAGGACC